AGGCUACGAUCAGUAGGGGUUCUGAGAGGAAGGUCCCCCACAUUGGAACUGAGACACGGUCCAAACUCCUACGGGAGGCAGCAGUGAGGAAUAUUGGUCAAUGGACGAGAGUCUGAACCAGCCAAGUAGCGUGCAGGAUGACGGCCCUAUGGGUUGUAAACUGCUUUUAUAAGGGAAUAAAGUGAGUCUCGUGAGACUUUUUGCAUGUACCUUAUGAAUAAGGACCGGCUAAUUCCGUGCCAGCAGCCGCGGUAAUACGGAAGGUCCGGGCGUUAUCCGGAUUUAUUGGGUUUAAAGGGAGCGUAGGCCGGAGAUUAAGCGUGUUGUGAAAUGUAGAUGCUCAACAUCUGCACUGCAGCGCGAACUGGUUUCCUUGAGUACGCACAAAGUGGGCGGAAUUCGUGG
rnacentral:rRNA from 1 species